UCCUACGGGGGGCAGCAGUGAGGAAUAUUGGUCAAUGGGCGGGAGCCUGAACCAGCCAAGUCGCGUGAGGGACGACGGUCCUAUGGAUUGUAAACCUCUUUUGUCGGGGAGCAAGACCCGCCACGAGUGGCGGAGCGAGAGUACCCGAAGAAAAAGCAUCGGCUAACUCCGUGCCAGCAGCCGCGGUAAUACGGAGGAUGCGAGCGUUAUCCGGAUUUAUUGGGUUUAAAGGGUGCGCAGGCGGACCAUCAAGUCAGCGGUAAAAUCGGGGGGCCCAACCCCAUCCCGCCGUUGAAACUGGCGGG
rnacentral:rRNA from 1 species